rnacentral:rRNA from 1 species
AUACGUAGGUGGCAAGCGUUGUCCGGAUUUAUUGGGCGUAAAGCGAGCGCAGGCGGUUUCUUAAGUCUGAUGUGAAAGCCCCCGGCUCAACCGGGGAGGGUCAUUGGAAACUGGGAGACUUGAGUGCAGAAGAGGAGAGUGGACUUCCAUGUGUAGUGGUGAAAUGCGUAGAUAUAUGGAGGAACACCAGUGGCGAAGGCGACUCUCUGGUCUGUAACUGACGCUGAGGCUCGAAAGCGUGGGGAGCAAACAGGAUUAGAUACCCUGGUAGUCCACGCCGUAAACGAUGAGUGCUAAGUGUUGGAGGGUUUCCGCCCUUCAGUGCUGCAGCUAACGCAUUAAGCACUCCGCCUGGGGAGUACGACCGCAAGGUUGAAACUCAAAUGAAUGGGCGGGG